UCCACAGUCCCUGAACACAUUGACUCUAACCAUGGAAUGGUGCUGGUUUUUUUUCUUCCUCCUGUCAUUAGCUGCAGAUGUCCACUGCCAGAUUCAGCUGCAGCAGUCUGGAGCUGAGCUCGUGAAGCCUGGGUCUUCAAUGAAGUUAUCCUGCAAGGCUUCUGGCUACACCUUCAGCAAUAGCUAUAUGAGUUGGCUGAAGCAGAGGCCUGGACAGAGUCUUGAGUGGAUUGCAUGGAUUUAUCCUGGAAGUGGUGGUACCAGCUAUAAUCAGAAGUUCAAGGGCAAGGCCACACUGACUGCAGACAAAUCCUCUAGCACAGCCUACAUGGAGCUCAGCAGCCUGACAUCUGAGGAUUCGGCAGUCUAUUACUGUGCAAGGCACAGUGUUAUAACCACAUCCUCAGUGGAUCCGAAGCAACCUGGGCCACUCACCCCAUCACCAAACAGUGCAGAGGGCCAGCGGUACAUCUGGAGGCCAGCCACAGGGAGGCGCCUUGCUCAGGUUGGAAACAUCAGUGGUCAACAAGAGCAGGGGCAGAUCAGUUAA